UACGGGAGGCAGCAGUGGGGAAUAUUGCACAAUGGGCGCAAGCCUGAUGCAGCCAUGCCGCGUGUAUGAAGAAGGCCUUCGGGUUGUAAAGUACUUUCAGCGGGGAGGAAGGCGAUGCGGUUAAUAACCGCGUCGAUUGACGUUACCCGCAGAAGAAGCACCGGCUAACUCCGUGCCAGCAGCCGCGGUAAUACGGAGGGUGCAAGCGUUAAUCGGAAUUACUGGGCGUAAAGCGCACGCAGGCGGUCUGUUAAGUCAGAUGUGAAAUCCCCGGGCUUAACCUGGGAACUGCAUUUUGAACUGGCAGGCUUGAGUCUUGUAGAGGGGGUAGAAUUCCAGGUGUAGCGGUGAAAUGCGUAGAGAUCUGGAGGAAUCCGGUGGCGAAGGCGGCCCCUGGACAAAGCUGACGCUCAGGGUGCGAAAGCGUGGGGAGCGAAACAGGAUUAGAUACC
rnacentral:rRNA from 1 species